rnacentral:rRNA from 1 species
AUUGAACGCUGGCGGCAGGCCUAACACAUGCAAGUCGAGCGAGCGGCGGACGGGUGAGUAAUGGCUGGGAAUUGCCGAGUGGGGGGGGAUACCAGAUGGGGACGACAGUUACUCCUGCAGACGGAUGGGUUGCCUAGGUGGGAUUAGUUAGUUGGUGGGGGAAUGGCUCACCAAGGCGACGAUCCCUAGCUGGUCUGAGAGGAUGAUCAGCCACACUGGAACUGAGACACGGUCCAGACUCCUACGGGAGGCAGCAGUGGGGAAUAUUGCACAAUGGGGGAAAGCCUGAUGCAGCCAUGCCGCGUGUGUGAAGAAGGCCUUCGGGUUGUAAAGCACUUUCAGCGGGGAGGCGUUACUCGCAGAAGAAGCACCGGCUAACUCCGUGCCAGCAGCCGCGGUAAUUC